CAGCAUCCGAGGGCCAUGAAAAUCGACGUUUCAGGAGAGAUCCGGUCCUGGAGGAUGGAAAAUAGUCACAUUGUUCCUUUGUGCAAGAGGAGCAACAGGCAUAAGAAGGGAAAUUACAGGCUGGUGAGCCAUUCGUCAAUGGUAGAUAAUAAUUGGAGAAGAUUCUUAAGGAUUUAACACUUCUAUCUCUGGGACUGUCUUUGGAGAUGAAGAGAGAAGGUAGCGAUAAUUAAUCCAGUGCAGAUCCAUGGAGGUGGCGGUGGAGGCGAAUUUGGGCUCAGUACGAGACCUGGCAAUAUCAGCAGUGACUGUAUCAGCAAGGUGGGUCUGAUGUGGAUUUGUCAUGGUGGAGUGAAGUUUGAGUCUGUGGAGUACCUGGCAGCCUCAGUGGCAUCUGCAUUGACAAGUUUCAGGGAAGACUCAUAGUGGCAAGGGUGUCAGUCAAGGGUCGUCACCAGAGGAAGAGACAGAGCGCCGUGGGGAAAAAGGAGGGCAGCACCGCCCAAGCAGGAAAAGACGAUCCCUCUGAGGGGAUGGGUAAAGGCCUCCCCCCACGCGGUGAGAACCGAGAGGUACCACCGGCCCACAGCUCCAGGUAACUGGGAGCAGCGGUCCUGUGACAGCCCCGCUGUCAGAUGGAGAACUAGACGAUGCGGAUCCUGGGUCCGACCCGAAGACACCAGAGCGGGGAAAUGGCCCCAGCGUGGAGCCGGACAGCUACCUCAGCCCUG